UACGAAGGGGGCUAGCGUUGUUCGGAAUCACUGGGCGUAAAGCGCACGUAGGCGGAUGUGCCAGUCAGGGGUGAAAUCCCGGAGCUCAACUUCGGAACUGCCUCUGAUACAGCACGUCUUGAGUCCGGAAGAGGGUCUCGGAAUUCCCGGUGUAGAGGUGAAAUUCGUAGAUAUCGGGAGGAACACCAGUGGCGAAGGCGGAGACCUGGGCCGAUACUGACGCUGAGGUGCGAAAGCGUGGGGAGCAAACAGG
rnacentral:rRNA from 1 species